rnacentral:rRNA from 1 species
ACGGGGGGAGCAAGCGUUGUUCGGAAUCACUGGGCGUAAAGGGCGUGUAGGCGGUCAAGUAAGUGGGAUGUGAAAUGCCCCGGCUCACCCGGGGACCUGCAUCUCAAACUGCUUGGCUCGAGUAUGGGAGAGGAUGAGGGAAUUCCUGGUGUAGCGGUGAAAUGCGUAGAUAUUCGGAGGAACACCGGUGGCGAAGGCGGCUUCCUGGACCGGUUCUGACGCUCAAGAGCGAAAGCUAGGGUAGCAAACAGGA